rfam:Hordeum vulgare subsp. vulgare, WGS project CAJW01000000 data, contig: morex_contig_474204
UCAAUAGUCCCUCCGUCCGGAAUUACUUGUCGCAUAAAUGUAUAAAAAUGGAUGUAUCUAGAACUAAAAUACAUCUAGAUACAUCCAUUCAUAUGACAAGUAUUUCCGGAUGGAGGGAGUAUUAC